UACGGAGGGGGCUAGCGUUGUUCGGAAUUACUGGGCGUAAAGCGCACGUAGGCGGCUUUGCAAGUCAGAGGUGAAAGCCCGGGGCUCAACCCCGGAAUUGCCUUUGAGACUGCAUCGCUAGAAUUGUGGAGAGGUAAGUGGAAUUCCGAGUGUAGAGGUGAAAUUCGUAGAUAUUCGGAAGAACACCAGUGGCGAAGGCGACUUACUGGACACAUAUUGACGCUGAGGUGCGAAAGCUAGGGGAGCGAACAGG
rnacentral:rRNA from 1 species